AGAGAGAGACAUGCGCGCAUAUCAAUAAGCGGAGGAAAAGAAACUAACAAGGAUUCCCCUAGUAACGGCGAGUGAAGCGGGAAGAGCUCAAAUUUGAAAUCUUAAAGGGUUUCCCUUUACGAAUUGUAGUUUAAAGAAGUGUUUUCUGUUGAGGUUUUGGUAAAAGUUCUUUGGAAUAGGACAUCAUAGAGGGUGAGGAUCCCGUAUUUGACCUUUACUUUCAACUUUGUGAUACACUUUCAAAGAGUCGGAUUGUUUGGGAAUGCAGUCCAAAAUGGGUGGUAAAUUUCAUCUAAAGCUAAAUAUUGGCGAGAGACCGAUAGCGAACAAGUACCGUGAGGGAAAGAUGAAAAGAACUUUGAAAAGAGAGUUAAACAGUACGUGAAAUUGUCAAAAGGGAAGCGUUUGACACCAGUGUUGUUUUUCUGAAAAUCAAUUAAAGAACUGUUUAUGCUAAGCUGUUUAGACUUUAUCAGCUAACUGUUUAGUUUUGAGCUUUUCUUUAAUGCACUUUUCAGUUAACAAGUCAACAUCAAUUUCUUUUGCUGUAAAAAAGCUUGAGGAAGGUGGCUUGAGAUUCGUCUUAAGUGUUUAUAGCCUCUUGCCUAUGCAGUCGGAGAGAUUGAGGUCUGCAGCGUAGAUCCUUCGGGGCUAAAUGCAUUUGUGCUAAGUUAUAGCAUUUUAUAGACAACUUGUUGACUAUGAUUUGUCUUGUAGCUUACUCGCUUAUGUUAUUUUACCUACGCUUAGGAUGUUGAGCGCAUGUCUCUCUCU
rnacentral:rRNA from 1 species